GAUGAACGCUAGCGGCAGGCCUAACACAUGCAAGUCGAGGGGUAGCAGGAUUAAGCUUGCUUAAUUGCUGACGACCGGCGCACGGGUGCGUAACGCGUAUGCAACCUACCUUAUACUGGGGUAUAGCCCGGAGAAAUUCGGAUUAAUCCCCCAUAGUACUAAUGAAUCGCAUGGUUUAUUAGUUAAAGCAUUGCGGUAUUAGAUGGGCAUGCGUCCUAUUAGCUAGAUGGUGAGGUAACGGCUCACCAUGGCUACGAUAGGUAGGGGGCCUGGGAGGGUGGUCCCCCACACUGGUACUGAGACACGGACCAGACUCCUACGGGAGGCAGCAGUGAGGAAUAUUGGUCAAUGGGCGCAAGCCUGAACCAGCCAUGCCGCGUGCAGUAAGAAUGCCCUAUGGGUUGUAAACUGCUUUUAUUUGGGAAUAAACCUCUUUACGUGUAGAGAGCUGAAGGUACCAAAUGAAUAAGCACCGGCUAACUCCGUGCCAGCCGCCGCAGUAA
rnacentral:rRNA from 1 species